AAAGCUUAUCGUCGUUGUAGACUCUUCUUCGUCUUUCCCAAACUCCUUCAUCCAUGGUGAAUUGGCUCCUUCGUCUUCCUCUGUGGCUCUUCGCCACCAUCACAUUUGCCGUCUCUCUCUCUCGCUUCUUCUUCUUAUUCCCUUCGUUUUAUCAAUUCCAAUUGCACAGAAACUAAAAUUGUAGAGGUCAUUGACCUAGAUCUGGGAAACAACAAUCUAUAAGAAACAGAAGAUGAAUCCUCAGACAAGUAUGGCUCUGCGUGAAGCCGUCAUUCAAAGAACUGUCUAUGUGUCUGAUAUCGACCAACAGGUCACUGAGGAGCAGCUUUAAUUGUUUGUUCAUCGGCUUUGGGCAGGCUGAAGAUGAGCAUGAGAUGCGUGCGAGAACUAUCUACUACACUAACAUCCACACUAAGGUGAUUCUCUAAGAUUUUCUUUCCUUCACAGCUCUAUAAUGAAACAUAAAGUAGCUAACUUUGAUGAGUUUACAUGUCACUCAAACGGACAUAAAACUCUUCUUUGAGGCUGGGUGUGGAGAGGUAUACCGUCUGAGGCUUCUGGGAGAUUAUCAUCAUCCAACUAGAAUCAGUUUCGUUGAGUUUGUCAUGGCUGAAAGUGCAGUAAGUACUCUCAAUUGCAGUGGCAUGCUUCUUGGCUCUUUACAGAUAAGG